GCCCUUGUAGUGUAGUCCGGCCAAUCAUUUGGCCUUCUCGAGGCUAAGACCUGGGUUCGAAUCCCGGCAAGGGCA
rnacentral:tRNA from 1 species